UGAAGUAGAACGCGAAAGUUUUCCUUCGGGAAAGCGAGUAGAGUGGCGGACGGGUGAGUAACGCGUAGGUAAUCAACCUUUAAGUGGGGGACAGCCCCGGGAAACCGGGAUUAAUACCGCAUGUGUCCAGCACCUACUUUGAGAGAUGAUAUAAUGAGUCUUUCAAAGUAGGUGCUGGGUAAAGAUGGCCUCUGUUUCAAGCUGUCGCUUAGAGAUGAGCCUGCGUCCUAUUAGCUUGUUGGUUAGGUAAUGGCUGACCAAGGCGAUGAUUGGUAGGCGGCUUUAACGAGUGGUCGCCCACACUGGGAUUGAGAUACGGCCCAGACUCCUACGGGAGGCAGCAGUCGAGAAUAGUCUACAAUGGACGAAAGUCUGAUAGUGCGACGCCGCGUGAACGAAGAAGCAUUUCGGUGUGUAAAGUUCUUUUCUGUACGAGCAAUGCUCAUUAGGUUAAUAGCUUAUUGAGAGAGAUAUUAGUACAGGAAUAAGCCACGGCUAACUCCGUGCCAGCAGCCGCGGUAACACGGGGGUGGCAAGCGUUGUCCGGAAUUACUAGGCGUAAAGGGCAAGUAGGCGGAAUGGUAAGUCAGAUGUUUAAGGCACCGGCUCAACCGAUGUACGGCAUUUGAUACUGUCAUUCUAGAGUAAGGUGGGGGAAGACGGAAUUCCUGGUGUAGCGGUGGAAUGCGGAGAUAUCAGGAGGAACACCGGCGGCGAAGGCGGUCUUCUAUACCAUUACUGACGCUAAAUUGCGAAGGUGUGGGUAUCAAACAGGAUUAGAUACCCUGGUAGUCCACACAGUAAACGAUAUGCACUAGAUGUUGGGAGAGUUAAUCUUUCAGUGUCGUAGUUAACGCGUUAAGUGCAUCGCCUGGGGAGUA
rnacentral:rRNA from 1 species